AAUCGGAGAUCCUACAUUUAAGGACCAUGCACAAGGGCCCAACAGUGGCUGAUUAGCAGUAUUGGGGCUUAAACCCCAGACCAUCUGAUCAGUGACCCGGAACCUUAACUGCUGAGCCACAACUAUACUAAAAUGCCUAUGCUGUAUUAGUGUUAAGUGAGAUUAUAUUGUGUUAAGACUCAUUGAUAUUCUGACCUUUAUGGAAAUUCUUUCUGCACUGUUUAUUACAUGUAUUUUUAUUCUUACAAAAUUAUUUCAGACAACUGUGGAAUGCUGGUGGUUGGUCUUCAGUGUCUUCUUCUGUCUACAGCAAAACCACAGAACAGAUGAUCAGAGAUUUAGGCCAGAGCUGCUCCAUCUGGCUGAGGCAGAGCCUUCCUCACUUUCCCCAAUGAGACACGGAUUCAAAGUAAUUGGUGUGUCAGGAGUCCAGCAGUAAUGAGGGAGAAGAUGAGUGGACAAGAUGUGCAGCUGUGUGGUUGAGCCUGCUGGGAAAUGACGGCUACCUUCAUCUUCAUCAUCAAUCAUCUUCACCUCACUCUUCUUCUGUUGACCUGCUUGAAAGGCUCACUACAGGUGGGAAUUCAAGAUAUGUGAAUUCGGAUUGUCAAAAUAUAUAAUCUUAUUUGAAUGACAAUGUCAGGUGCUUGGCUCCUCCCAGACCGCAAACUAGUCAUCGAGUCCAAAGUGAAAUAUUUGUCCUUUUUUUAAUCUGAACCUCAGGAAAACUCAAGGGACAAGUUUUUGUUUUAUUAUUCUAUCAAGGGUAACAGUGAAUCCAGAGAACACCUAAAAUCAGUGUUGGACACAUCCUUCACACCUAGUGGCAAUUAAACAUACUAGAAGUUCUUUGGAAAAGGAAACUGAAGACCACUGAGGAAAACCCUCAUGGAAGUGAAUAGUACAUGCAAAAGUACACAAUCAGACACAUGGUUGAACAGGGGCCUUGAAGUCAUUCCAUCUUGUUAUCCAUUCAUACAAAACUCAUUCAUUCAUUUUCUACCGCUUUUAUCCAAACUAUAUCAGGUCGUCAUCGGGCAUCGAGGCAGGAUACACCCUGGACGGAGUGCC